UACAGAGGUCUCAAGCGUUGUUCGGAUUCAUUGGGCGUAAAGGGUGUGUAGGUGGCGCCGUAAGUCAGGUGUGAAAUCUCCGGGCUUAACCCGGAAAGGUCAGCCGAUACUGCGGGGCUAGAGUGCAGAAGGGGCAACUGGAAUUCUCGGUGUAGCGGUGAAAUGCGUAGAUAUCGAGAGGAACACCUGCGGCGAAGGCGGGUUGCUGGGCUGACACUGACGCUGAGGCGCGAAAGCUAGGGGAGCGAACGGG
rnacentral:rRNA from 1 species